AGACAGCUUCAAAAUAUGUCUCAGAGAAACCAAGAUUCUUGAUGGGACUCAUAAAAACAUUAAAGUAAACUGGAUGGCAUUCAUCGAUUUGAGACUUGAGAACUUUACCUUGACCAAUAGUGUUGUUUUUAAUAGCACUAGCUCACGAUCUCGUCAAGAUAACCACGCAUUCUGCCAAACAAUAAACUUCACAAAGCCGUUUUUUGUUCCUCCUGUGGUGGUAGUGAUGCCAAAGUACAGCUACAACAACAAU